UUUAAUACAACCAUGUCUAUAAGAUCUCUUGUUCUAUACUCUAGUAGCUUAAUGAGCCAUGGAAAUUUGUCCCGUCUUUAUCGAUUAGAGAUACUAAUGCCAAGCCAGGGCAUGCGAUUCGUUUCGCGUACCACCGUGUUUAAGAACUGAACAUAUUACUUUCUGUAGCAUCCCACUUAAAACUGGAGAAUGUGACCUUCAUCCCUUGCAGCUUUACAUAACGAUAUACUUAGGAAGAAAUAAGGAUAUUACAGUCGAAACAUAAAUGAAAAGCUUACAAACUGAACUAUAAUGUUGUGUUGUCAAGGACAACAGCACAGGUUCAGUGAGGUCACCCCUUAGGUCAUUUGAUGUAGUUUUAUUUUUUUGAAUAAGAUAGAAAGUGGUUUGUUUCAAAAAAAAGAUAGAAAGUAGUUGAAUAAUUGAGAACCUGGGUCCUUGUCUUGAUCCUCUCUGUGAUAGAAUCAUAUAGAUUUGUUUAUUAUGUGUAGUUGAAUAUCUAAUCUUGAUUUUUUGGCAACUUCUGGCAGGCAUAUAGAAUAAUAACUAGGAAGCAUCAAUAUCAGGGAACUACAGGCAAAACAAUCUCUUUCAGUGGAGAAUUGUCAAAAUUGAACAACCGGAAACCAAUUAAAUUCUCUAUUGAUAGAGUUUAGUCUAGUGGAAUAUGUGGAGUUUAGUCUAGUGAAUCUAUCUUGCAGAGCUUAGAUAGCAAAGCAUAUUAUUACUUUAAUCAGCCGGUCUGUGUAACAAUGGGUGAUCAAGAAGUGAAGUUGUUUGGUUUAUGGGCAAGCCCUUAUAGCAAAAGGGUUGAAAUUGCACUGAAAAUCAAGGGAAUCAAGUACGAAUAUUUUGAAGAAAAUUUGUCCAACAAGAGUUCUGAGCUUCUCAAGUACAACCCUGUUCAUAAGAAGCUCCCUGUACUUCUACACAAUGGGAAGCCAGUCUGCGAGUCUCUUGUUAUUCUUGAGUACAUAGACGAGACCUGGAAAUCUGAACAUUCUUUACUGCCCGAAGAUCCUUAUGCCAGAGCCAUGGCACGUUUCUGGGCGAAAUGCAUCGAGGAUAAGGUACAUACAUAUAUCUUUGUCCUGUCAGUCCUGCCGGACUAUCUUUGUCAGUUGGACUAAUUUUACCUGAACUGGGAUUCCUGAUAAGCUACUCUGACAUCUUGUAUAUUAGCAGCUACAAUAUUUAACUCAUUUUCCAUCAUUUAUUAAUAAUUUCUAUAUAUUCAGUCUACAUCUUAAAUGUGUACUGAUAUAACUUAAAUUAUGACUUUCCCUCUUAGUGCACAGCUGCUAUGAGGAGUAUCUGGAGGAGCUCGGAGGGACAAGAUAAAGUCAUUGAAGAACUUACAGUACAUUUGAAAACACUUGAAAAUGAGCUCAAAGGCAAGAAGUUUUUUGGUGGAGAUGAAAUCGGAUUGGUUGACAUUACUGCUAAUCUGAUGGCACUUUGGCUUGGUGUAUUACUGGAGUUAAAGGGGAUAGAAUUGCUUACAAAAGAGAAGCUCCCUAGAUUAUGUGAAUGGAUCGAUGAUUACCUUAAUCAUCAAAUUAUUAAGGAGACUUUGCCUGAUAGGGAAAACUUGAGAGAGUAUAUGUCGAAUCUACUUAAAGGUUAAAUUUCAAUUUAAACUUACGUAAAAAAAAAAAAAAAAAAGGUGAGCUAGUUUUAUUCAUUCAUCAUCUCAGCAUGUAGCAGAGUAUCAGUUUCGUAUGAUUUUUAAAUAAAAUUUGGUGUCUGUUUGAUGUUUCACUUUAGAAUACAUUGCUAUCAAAUAAUGAACAAUCUCAAGUUAUGAAUUGAUUUCCAGCAGCAAUGAGAAGUUAGCUCAAGUACUUCCAGAGUAUCUCUCAAUGGCUGUCUAAGAACAUGUGAAGGCUUUUUAGUCUAUGGGCAAUAGUUGAGAUUUGCGCUAUAACAGUUGUGACCUUUAAUACAACCCUGUCUACAAGAUCUCUUUGUUCUAUACUCUAGUACAUUGAUGAGCCAUGGAAAUUUGGCCUGUCUGUAUUGACUAGAGAUACUCAUGGCAAGCCAGGGCUUGUUAUUGGGCAGACAUUGAUAAUGUAGCAUGAGAUGCGUGUUCUUUAAGAACGUCACCUUCAUCCCUUGCGGCUUUACAACGAAACAUAAAUGAAAGCUUACAAACUGAACUAUAAUGGUGUGUUGUCAAGGACAACAGCACAGGUUCAGUGAGGUCACCCCUUAGGUCAUUUGAUGUAGUUUUAUAUCUGUGAAUAAGAUAGAUAUUAGUUGAAUAAUUGAGAACCUGGGUCCUUGUCCUUAUCCUCUAUGUGAUAGAAGCAUAUAGAUUUGUUUAUUAUGUGUAGUUGAAUCUGAUCUUGAUAUUUGGCAACUUCUGGCAAGCAUAUAAGGAGCAUCAAUAUCA
rnacentral:lncRNA from 1 species